AUUGAACGCUGGCGGAAUGCUUUACACAUGCAAGUCGAGCGGCAGCGCGGGGCAACCUGGCGGCGAGCGGCGAACGGGUGAGUAAUGCAUCGGAACGUACCCAGUCGUGGGGGAUAACUGUCCGAAAGGACAGCUAAUACCGCAUACGUCCUGAGGGAGAAAGCGGGGGAUCGCAAGACCUCGCGCGAUUGGAGCGGCCGAUGCCGGAUUAGCUAGUUGGUAGGGUAAAGGCCUACCAAGGCGACGAUCCGUAGCUGGUCUGAGAGGACGACCAGCCACACUGGAACUGAGACACGGUCCAGACUCCUACGGGAGGCAGCAGUCGGGAAUAUUGGACAAUGGGCGCAAGCCUGAUCCAGCAAUACCGCGUGUGUGAAGAAGGCCUGCGGGUUGUAAAGCACUUUCAGUGGGGAAGAUAAUGACGUUACCCACAGAAGAAGCACCGGCUAACUCCGUG
rnacentral:rRNA from 1 species